rnacentral:rRNA from 1 species
GACGAACGCUGGCGGCGUGCUUAACACAUGCAAGUCGAACGGAAAGGCCCUGCUUUCUGGGUACUCGAGUGGCGAACGGGCGAGUAACUCGUGGGUGAGUUGCCCUCCACUUCGGGUUAGGUCUCGGCAACAGGCUCUAACACCUGCUAGAUGCCAUCUUUAGUGUGAUGGUUGGAUAGUUUUUUCGGUUUUGGAUGUGCUGGCGGCCUAUCAGCUCGUUGGUGGGGUAAUGGCGUACAAAGGCGGCGACGGGUAGCCGGCCUGAGAGGGUGGACGGCCACAUUGGGACUGAGAUACGGCCCAGACUCGUACGGGAGGCAGCAGUGGGGAAUAUUGCACAAUGGGCGCAAGCCUGAUGCAGAGACGCCGCGGGGGGGAUGACGGCCUUCGGGUUGUAAACUCCUUUCGCUAGGGACGAAGCUUUUUGUGACGGUACCUAGAUAAGAAGCACCGGCUAACUACGUG